rnacentral:rRNA from 1 species
AAAGCAGGGGACCUUCGGGCCUUGCGCUAUCAGAUGAGCCUAGGUCGGAUUAGCUAGUUGGUGAGGUAAUGGCUCACCAAGGCGACGAUCCGUAACUGGUCUGAGAGGAUGAUCAGUCACACUGGAACUGAGACACGGUCCAGACUCCUACGGGAGGCAGCAGUGGGGAAUAUUGGACAAUGGGCGAAAGCCUGAUCCAGCCAUGCCGCGUGUGUGAAGAAGGUCUUCGGAUUGUAAAGCACUUUAAGUUGGGAGAAAGGGCAGUAAGCUAAUACCUUGCUGUUAGGACGUUACCGACAGAAUAAGCACCG